rnacentral:rRNA from 1 species
GCGAGUCUAGGGCUCCAGGCUACGGUGGGGCCCGGCACACGGCUGAGUAACACGUAGCUAACCUACCCUCAGGAAGGGGAUAACCCCGGGAAACUGGGGUUAAACCCCUAUAGGCGAGGACUCCUGGAACCGGGUCUUCGCUGAAAGGGCUUCUAGACCAUGCCUCUAGAAGCCGCCUGAGGAUGGGGCUGCGGCCCAUCAGGUAGUUGGCGGGGUAACGGCCCGCCAAGCCUAUAACGGGUAGGGGCCGUGAGAGCGGGAGCCUCCAGAUGGGCCCUGAGACAAGGGCCCAGGCCCUACGGGGCACAGCAGGCGCGAAAACUCCGCUAUGCGCGAAAGCGCGACGGGGUUACCUCGAGUGCCUCCCGCUGAGGGGAGCUUUUCCCCAGCGUAAACAGCUGGGGGAAUAAAGGGAGGGCAAGCCUGGUGUCAGCCGCCGCGGUAAUACCGGCUCCCG